GACGAACGCUGGCGGCGUGCUUAACACAUGCAAGUCGAACGAAAAUACCAAGCUUGCUUGGUUGAUUAGUGGCGAACGGGUGAGUAACACGUGAGUAACCUGCCCCUUACUUUCCUGGAUAACUGCUCGAAAGGGUAGCUAAUACGGGAUAUUCUGACCAGCCUGCAUGGGUUGGUUUGGAAAGGUUGUUUUUCUGGUAAGGGAUGGGCUCGCGGCCUAUCAGCUUGUUGGUGGGGUGAUGGCCUACCAAGGCUUUGACGGGUAGCCGGCCGGAGAGGGUGGAAGGUCACACUGGGACUGAGAUACGGCCCAGACUACUACGGGAGGCAGCAGUGGGGAAUAUUGCACAAUGGGCGCAAGCCUGAUGCAGCGACGCCGCGUGAGGGAUGAAGGCCUUCGGGGUGUAAACCUCUUUCGUCAGGGAACAAGGCACUGCUUUUUUGGUGGUGUUGAGGGUACCUGGAUAAGAAGCGCCGGCUAACUACGUG
rnacentral:rRNA from 1 species